rnacentral:rRNA from 1 species
GACGAACGCUGGCGGCGUGCCUAAUACAUGCAAGUCGAACGAACUCUGGUAUUGAUUGGUGCUUGCAUCAUGAUUUACAUUUGAGUGAGUGGCGAACUGGUGAGUAACACGUGGGAAACCUGCCCAGAAGCGGGGGAUAACACCUGGAAACAGAUGCUAAUACCGCAUAACAACUUGGACCGCAUGGUCCGAGCUUGAAAGAUGGCUUCAGCUAUCACUUUUGGAUGGUCCCGCGGCGUAUUAGCUAGAUGGUGGGGUAACGGCUCACCAUGGCAAUGAUACGUAGCCGACCUGAGAGGGUAAUCGGCCACAUUGGGACUGAGACACGGCCCAAACUCCUACGGGAGGCAGCAGUAGGGAAUCUUCCACAAUGGACGAAAGUCUGAUGGAGCAACGCCGCGUGAGUGAAGAAGGGUUUCGGCUCGUAAAACUCUGUUGUUAAAGAAGAACAUAUCUGAGAGUAACUGUUCAGGUAUUGACGGUAUUUAACCAGAAAGCCACGGCUAACUACAUGCCAGCAGCCGCGGUAAUACGUAGGUGGCAAGCGUUGUCCGGAUUUAUUGGGCGUAAAGCGAGCGCAGGCGGUUUUUUAAGUCUGAUGUGAAAGCCUUCGGCUCAACCGAAGAAGUGCAUCGGAAACUGGGAAACUUGAGUGCAGAAGAGGACAGUGGAACUCCAUGUGUAGCGGUGAAAUGCGUAGAUAUAUGGAAGAACACCAGUGGCGAAGGCGGCUGUCUGGUCUGUAACUGACGCUGAGGCUCGAAAGUAUGGGUAGCAAACAGGAUUAGAUACCCUGGUAGUCCAUACCGUAAACGAUGAAUGCUAAGUGUUGGAGGGUUUCCGCCCUUCAGUGCUGCAGCUAACGCAUUAAGCAUUCCGCCUGGGGAGUACGGCCGCAAGGCUGAAACUCAAAGGAAUUGACGGGGGCCCGCACAAGCGGUGGAGCAUGUGGUUUAAUUCGAAGCUACGCGAAGAACCUUACCAGGUCUUGACAUACUAUGCAAAUCUAAGAGAUUAGACGUUCCCUUCGGGGACAUGGAUACAGGUGGUGCAUGGUUGUCGUCAGCUCGUGUCGUGAGAUGUUGGGUUAAGUCCCGCAACGAGCGCAACCCUUAUUAUCAGUUGCCAGCAUUAAGUUGGGCACUCUGGUGAGACUGCCGGUGACAAACCGGAGGAAGGUGGGGAUGACGUCAAAUCAUCAUGCCCCUUAUGACCUGGGCUACACACGUGCUACAAUGGAUGGUACAACGAGUUGCGAACUCGCGAGAGUAAGCUAAUCUCUUAAAGCCAUUCUCAGUUCGGAUUGUAGGCUGCAACUCGCCUACAUGAAGUCGGAAUCGCUAGUAAUCGCGGAUCAGCAUGCCGCGGUGAAUACGUUCCCGGGCCUUGUACACACCGCCCGUCACACCAUGAGAGUUUGUAACACCCAAAGUCGGUGGGGUAACCUUUUAGGAACCAGCCGCCUAAGGUGGGACAGAUGAUUAGGGUG